rnacentral:rRNA from 1 species
GCGUGCCUAAUACAUGCAAGUCGAACGAACUCUGGUAUUGAUUGGUGCUUGCAUCAUGAUUUACAUUUGAGUGAGUGGCGAACUGGUGAGUAACACGUGGGAAACCUGCCCAGAAGCGGGGGAUAACACCUGGAAACAGAUGCUAAUACCGCAUAACAACUUGGACCGCAUGGUCCGAGUUUGAAAGAUGGCUUCGGCUAUCACUUUUGGAUGGUCCCGCGGCGUAUUAGCUAGAUGGUGGGGUAACGGCUCACCAUGGCAAUGAUACGUAGCCGACCUGAGAGGGUAAUCGGCCACAUUGGGACUGAGACACGGCCCAAACUCCUACGGGAGGCAGCAGUAGGGAAUCUUCCACAAUGGACGAAAGUCUGAUGGAGCAACGCCGCGUGAGUGAAGAAGGGUUUCGGCUCGUAAAACUCUGUUGUUAAAGAAGAACAUAUCUGAGAGUAACUGUUCAGGUAUUGACGGUAUUUAACCAGAAAGCCACGGCUAACUACGUGCCAGCAGCCGCGGUAAUACGUAGGUGGCAAGCGUUGUCCGGAUUUAUUGGGCGUAAAGCGAGCGCAGGCGGUUUUUUAAGUCUGAUGUGAAAGCCUUCGGCUCAACCGAAGAAGUGCAUCGGAAACUGGGAAACUUGAGUGCAGAAGAGGACAGUGGAACUCCAUGUGUAGCGGUGAAAUGCGUAGAUAUAUGGAAGAACACCAGUGGCGAAGGCGGCUGUCUGGUCUGUAACUGACGCUGAGGCUCGAAAGUAUGGGUAGCAAACAGGAUUAGAUACCCUGGUAGUCCAUACCGUAAACGAUGAAUGCUAAGUGUUGGAGGGUUUCCGCCCUUCAGUGCUGCAGCUAACGCAUUAAGCAUUCCGCCUGGGGAGUACGGCCGCAAGGCUGAAACUCAAAGGAAUUGACGGGGGCCCGCACAAGCGGUGGAGCAUGUGGUUUAAUUCGAAGCUACGCGAAGAACCUUACCAGGUCUUGACAUACUAUGCAAAUCUAAGAGAUUAGACGUUCCCUUCGGGGACAUGGAUACAGGUGGUGCAUGGUUGUCGUCAGCUCGUGUCGUGAGAUGUUGGGUUAAGUCCCGCAACGAGCGCAACCCUUAUUAUCAGUUGCCAGCAUUAAGUUGGGCACUCUGGUGAGACUGCCGGUGACAAACCGGAGGAAGGUGGGGAUGACGUCAAAUCAUCAUGCCCCUUAUGACCUGGGCUACACACGUGCUACAAUGGAUGGUACAACGAGUUGCGAACUCGCGAGAGUAAGCUAAUCUCUUAAAGCCAUUCUCAGUUCGGAUUGUAGGCUGCAACUCGCCUACAUGAAGUCGGAAUCGCUAGUAAUCGCGGAUCAGCAUGCCGCGGUGAAUACGUUCCCGGGCCUUGUACACACCGCCCGUCACACCAUGAGAGUUUGUAACACCCAAAGUCGGUGGGGUAACCUUUUAGGAACCAGCCGCCUAAGGUGGGACAGAUGAUUAGGGUGAAGUCGUAACAAGGU